rnacentral:rRNA from 1 species
AGUGAACGCUGGCGGUAGGCCUAACACAUGCAAGUCGAACGGCAGCACAGUAAGAGCUUGCUCUUACGGGUGGCGAGUGGCGGACGGGUGAGGAAUACAUCGGAAUCUACUUUUUCGUGGGGGAUAACGUAGGGAAACUUACGCUAAUACCGCAUACGACCUACGGGUGAAAGCAGGGGAUCUUCGGACCUUGCGCGAUUGAAUGAGCCGAUGUCGGAUUAGCUAGUUGGCGGGGUAAAGGCCCACCAAGGCGACGAUCCGUAGCUGGUCUGAGAGGAUGAUAAGCCACACGGGAACUGAGACACGGUCAAGACUCCUACGGGAGGCAGCAGUGGGGAAUAUUGGACAAUGGGCGCAAGCCUGAUCCAGCCAUACCGCGUGGGUGAAGAAGGCCUUCGGGUUGUAAAGACCUUUUGUUGGGAAAGAAAAGCAGCAGGUUAAUACCACGCUGUUCUGACGGUACCCAAAGAAUAAGCACCGGCUAACUUCGUG